rnacentral:RNase_P_RNA from 1 species
GGAGUCGGACAGACCGCCGCCGCGGAGAACAUCCGGGGAGGAAAGUCCGGGCUCCACAGGGCAUGACGCCGGGUAACGCCCGGGAGGGGUGACCCUCGGACAGCGCCACAGAAAACAGACCGCCCGCUUCGGCGGGUAAGGGUGAAAAGGUGGGGCAAGAGCCCACCGGACGCGGCGGCAACGCCGCGUGCCUGGCAUACCCCGUCAGGAGCAAGACCAAAUAGGAAAGGCGGCCGGCCCGGCCGUGUGCCUUUCGGGUAGGUUGCUUGAGCGUGCGGGCAACCGCACGCCUAGAGGAAUGGCGGUCCUCGACAGAACCCGGCUUACAGUCCGGCUCCUGCU